GAUGAACGCUGGCGGCGUGCCUAAUACAUGCAAGUCGAGCGAACAGAUAAGGAGCUUGCUCCUUUGAAGUUAGCGGCGGACGGGUGAGUAACACGUGGGUAACCUACCUAUAAGACUGGGAUAACUUCGGGAAACCGGAGCUAAUACCGGAUAACAUUUAGAACCGCAUGGUUCUAAAGUGAAAGAUGGUUUUGCUAUCACUUAUAGAUGGACCCGCGCCGUAUUAGCUAGUUGGUAAGGUAACGGCUUACCAAGGCGACGAUACGUAGCCGACCUGAGAGGGUGAUCGGCCACACUGGAACUGAGACACGGUCCAGACUCCUACGGGAGGCAGCAGUAGGGAAUCUUCCGCAAUGGGCGAAAGCCUGACGGAGCAACGCCGCGUGAGUGAUGAAGGGUUUCGGCUCGUAAAACUCUGUUAUUAGGGAAGAACAAAUGUGUAAGUAACUGUGCACAUCUUGACGGUACCUAAUCAGAAAGCCACGGCUAACUACGUGCCAGCAGCCGCGGUAAUACGUAGGUGGCAAGCGUUAUCCGGAAUUAUUGGGCGUAAAGCGCGCGUAGGCGGUUUCUUAAGUCUGAUGUGAAAGCCCACGGCUCAACCGUGGAGGGUCAUUGGAAACUGGGAAACUUGAGUGCAGAAGAGGAAAGUGGAAUUCCAUGUGUAGCGGUGAAAUGCGCAAAGAUAUGGAGGAACACCAGUGGCGAAGGCGACUUUCUGGUCUGUAACUGACGCUGAUGUGCGAAAGCGUGGGGAUCAAACAGGAUUAGAUACCCUGGUAGUCCACGCCGUAAACGAUGAGUGCUAAAGUGUUAGGGGGUUUCCGCCCCUUAGUGCUGCAGCUAACGCAUUAAGCACUCCGCCUGGGGAGUACGACCGCAAGGUUGAAACUCAAAGGAAUUGACGGGGACCCGCACAAGCGGUGGAGCAUGUGGUUUAAUUCGAAGCAACGCGAAGAACCUUACCAAAUCUUGACAUCCUUUGAAAACUCUAGAGAUAGAGCCUUCCCCUUCGGGGGACAAAGUGACAGGUGGUGCAUGGUUGUCGUCAGCUCGUGUCGUGAGAUGUUGGGUUAAGUCCCGCAACGAGCGCAACCCUUAAGCUUAGUUGCCAUCAUUAAGUUGGGCACUCUAGGUUGACUGCCGGUGACAAACCGGAGGAAGGUGGGGAUGACGUCAAAUCAUCAUGCCCCUUAUGAUUUGGGCUACACACGUGCUACAAUGGACAAUACAAAGGGCAGCUAAACCGCGAGGUCAUGCAAAUCCCAUAAAGUUGUUCUCAGUUCGGAUUGUAGUCUGCAACUCGACUACAUGAAGCUGGAAUCGCUAGUAAUCGUAGAUCAGCAUGCUACGGUGAAUACGUUCCCGGGUCU
rnacentral:rRNA from 1 species